UGCAAAAACGGAUUCAAUUAGUCGAUUUUAGUUUUUGUUCUUACUCUCUCUCUUUCGCUCUCUUAUCUCUGCGCUGAAAGCUUUCUCCUAGUCACUCCAAAACCCUAGCGUCAUCCCUCUCUCAAUCUCAGCCUCUCCGAAGCCCUAUCUUUGAUUCUUCCCGCUCAAGAGCUAUAUUGAAGUGGGUUUUUUGUCAUGGGUCGUCUCCAUCUCUCUCGCUCUCUUGUGUCGCCAGGGUCCCAUUCCGCAACCAGGUUGGUUCCAUAUGAGCCUAAUACAAGAAUUGAAAGCAAAACCUCUACAUAUGAAACUAUGCUGGAAAGUUUUUCUUAAUGGGUUUGAAGUUUUUCGAAGAGUAGCGUUAACCCAGGAUAUAACGACGACAUUUCCAAGUUUUGUGUUUAAUUCUGAGGUUGAUGAGAUUGCUACGUGAAAGAAAGGAAUAAUAAAUAGCUUAGAAAUAUUAAGAAUUUAGUGUGGUAGAUAUUUUGAUGUAAUUCUUCAAACAACAAACAUUGUGAGAGGCAAAAGAAAGAAAGAAAGAGUUCAUUACUCCUUUUCAGAAUGAGUAGGUAAGGUUGAUGUGAAACUGAAGAAGCUUAUAUCCACCAGCCGAAGAAGGGGGUGGUAGAAAUUUAAAUUUUACUACUCUACUGUGGACUAGAAAUCAAGCGAUAUACUACUCUUGGGGAUGAUUCUAAGUCAAAUUUAAAUUUUAAAAAUGGUUUUGCAACUGUAGUCUAAGACUCUAAAUUGAUUGUAAUUGCUAAUUUCUUUAAUUCUGCAGUGAAUAAAUUGUUUGAUUGUGAUCGAUUCAGAACACAAAA